rnacentral:rRNA from 1 species
AGAGUUUGAUCCUGGCUCAGAUUGAACGCUGGCGGCAUGCUUUACACAUGCAAGUCGAACGGCAGCACAGGGAGCUUGCUCCCGGGUGGCGAGUGGCGCACGGGUGAGUAAUACAUCGGAACGUGUCCUGUUGUGGGGGGAUAACUGGCUCGAAAGGGUGGCUAAUACCGCAUGAAACCUGAGGGUGAAANCGGGGGAUCGCAAGACCUCGCGCAAUUGGAGCGGCCGAUGCCCGAUUAGCUAGUUGGUGAGGUAAAGGCUCACCAAGGCGACGAUCGGUAGCUGGUCUGAGAGGACGACCAGCCACACUGGGACUGAGACACGGCCCAGACUCCUACGGGAGGCAGCA